rnacentral:rRNA from 1 species
GACGGAGGGGGCUAGCGUUGUUCGGAAUUACUGGGCGUAAAGAGUGCGUAGGCGGUUUAGUAAGUUGGGAGUGAAAGCCCGGGGCUUAACCUCGGAAUUGCUUUCAAAACUGCUAAGCUAGAGUGUAGUAGGGGAUGAUGGAAUUCCUAGUGUAGAGGUGAAAUUCUUAGAUAUUAGGAGGAACACCGGGGGCGAAGGCGAUCAUCUGGGCUAUAACUGACGCUGAUGCACGAAAGCGUGGGGAGCAAACAGG